rnacentral:rRNA from 1 species
AUCCUGGCUCAGGAUGAACGCUAGCUACAGGCUUAACACAUGCAAGUCGAGGGGCAGCACAGUGUAGCAAUACACGGGUGGCGACCGGCGCACGGGUGCGUAACGCGUAUCCAACUUUCCCGUUACUCUCGGAUAGCCUUCCGAAAGGGAGAUUAAUACGAGAUGGUGUUCAGUUUCCGCAUGUUUACUGAACUAAAGAUUCAUCGGUAACGGAUAGGCUCGCGUGACAUUAGCUGGAUGGCGGGGUAACGGCCCACCAUGGCGACGAUGUCUAGGGGUUCUGAGAGGAAGGUCCCCCACACUGGAACUGAGACACGGUCCAGACUCCUACGGGAGGCAGCAGUGAGGAAUAUUGGUCAAUGGUCUGACGACUGAACCAGCCAUGCCGCGUGAAGGUGACGGCCCUAUGGGUCUUAAACUUCUUUUGUAAGGGAGCAAUAAGUCUUACGUGUAGGAUGAUGAGAGUACCUUACGAAUAAGCAUCGGCUAACUCCGUG